rnacentral:rRNA from 1 species
GACAGAGGUGCCGAGCGUUAGGCGGAAUCACUGGGCUUAAAGCGUGUGUAGGCGGGCCGUUAAGUGUCUUGUGAAAUCCCCCGGCUCAACCGGGGAAUUGCUGGGCAUACUGGCGAUCUUGGGCCAACUAGGGGCAACUGGAACAAGCGGUGGAGCGGUGAAAUGCGUAGAUAUCGCUUGGAACGCCGAAGGUGAAAACAGGUUGCUGGGGUUGUGCCGACGCUGAGACACGAAAGCCAGGGGAGCAAACGGG